rnacentral:rRNA from 1 species
UAGGGAAUAUUGGACAAUGGGCGAAAGCCUGAUCCAGCCAUGCCGCGUGUGUGAAGAAGGUCUUCGGAUUGUAAAGCACUUUAAGUUGGGAGGAAGGGCAGUAAGCGAAUACCUUGCUGUUUUGACGUUACCGACAGAAUAAGCACCGGCUAACUCUGUGCCAGCAGCCGCGGUAAUACAGAGGGUGCAAGCGUUAAUCGGAAUUACUGGGCGUAAAGCGCGCGUAGGUGGUUCGUUAAGUUGAAUGUGAAAGCCCCGGGCUCAACCUGGGAACUGCAUCCAAAACUGGCGAGCUAGAGUAGGGCAGAGGGUGGUGGAAUUUCCUGUGUAGCGGUGAAAUGCGUAGAUAUAGGAAGGAACACCAGUGGCGAAGGCGACCACCUGGGCUCAUACUGACACUGAGGUGCGAAAGCGUGGGGAGCAAACAGG